GAAGCGGCUGAGCUCCGGUUUGCGCUGCGCGUCGUCCUCUCAUCUGCACCUCCUCGUCCCCGCCAGCGAUUCCAUCAUGGUGGACAUUCUGGUGCUGAUGUUUUUCGCCAUCAUGGGCCUCGUCUUCCUCUCCUACAUCAUCUACAUGCUGUGAUGUCGAGGCGUCUGUCUCCUCGCUGCACGGAGGAUGCGUGUUGCAACUCUCCUGCAUCCACAGCUUCCAUGAUGGACAUAGAUUGAAGGACCACAGGCCAGGAUGCUCAACCUUCCAGCUCUCAGGUGCGAAGAGCCCAGAGGAAAGCACAUGGAACCCAGAAUCUCCACCUCCUCACCUGCCAUCCAUCCCCCUCCUCCAUCCCCUCGGUUUAUUCAAUCCCCUAAAAUGCUCUUCUGCAACCGACCUGAUAUUUCCAGCUCUCCACCACUGUUUCUCUUGAGAGCAGGAGCAGUUUUACUGUCUGCAGAAGUCCAGGAUGUCCACGUGUGGAUGAAGGGUGGUUUGAAACUAAAAGUGUAGAAUUUGCCUUAUUUUUAUUGUUUUUAAUAACACUGUUAUGAUGUGCAAUUGUGAGUUUGGUGUUAUUCCAAGUGUAAUCAGCUCUUGGAGACCCAGCUCUCUCUUUGUUAUAAUUCAGUGUUGUUAAUAUGUUCUCCCAACAUUGUCUACCGUUUAAAAGGUGACAUGUCAGCACAAGAACUCAGCGUUAUUGUUUAUAACCUAGAUGUAUAAUAAUUAUCUGUUUCCAUUUUUGUUCCAGUUGUUAUAAAAAGGAACUGCAUGUAGGGAUGGUUCAGAAAUGCACAUGUGCUUCACAGCUCCAACAUCAAACCUCCUUUAUAUUGUUUAUUUUAUUGACAUUAUGUUUACCUGUGCAAUGGAAAUUUGCUGAAAUCUUUUUGAAAUUAUUUAUCAAACAAAUAAAGAUGAUUACAGUAAA